UACGAAGGGGGCUAGCGUUGCUCGGAAUCACUGGGCGUAAAGCGCACGUAGGCGGCUUUUUAAGUCAGGGGUGAAAUCCUGGAGCUCAACUCCGGAACUGCCUUUAAAACUGCAUCGCUUGAAUCCAGGAGAGGUGAGUGGAAUUCCGAGUGUAGAGGUGAAAUUCGUAGAUAUUAGGAAGAACACCGGUGGCGAAGGCGGCCCACUGGAUCGGUACUGACGCUGAGGUGCGAAAGCGUGGGGAGCAAACAGG
rnacentral:rRNA from 1 species